CCUCCUGAGCACAGCCUUCUGGCAGUAUCUUUAUCAUGUCUUUGCUCCUUUUCCUUGGACUCUGGGAUCUAGCCAUCUGAGUCCAGAAGGAAAAACGACUUCAAAAAUAACACACGUGUGUCCAUGACCAAAAGAAUACAGUUGACACCCAGGUAGAAGUACACAGGGAGGAUUUAUGCCAGAUUCUCUUGUAACGUCAGUGAACUCCAUUCUGUGCACAACAUGCUAUCAUGAUGAUCACUCUUACCCCAAACCAAUCUGGAAUGACUCAGUCAAGCGCCCAGCUGGUGAUUUCAGGACUGGCCAUCAUGCCUGCUUAGAAGUCCUUGCAAGACCCCACAGGACUGGUCUCCCCAGGAAGACGCACUUCGCCCCCAGGGCCAGAGCCUUGAGCACGUCGUUGCCCGUCCGGACCCCGCCGUCCAGGCAGAAACCCUGCCUGCUCCCUUCCCAGGAGCUGUGAACCAGGCCCUGAGUUCAACAGCGGAAAGGAUACAGGAGACCAGACUUUUUAAACGCUGCGAUGUUGUCGUCCCGGGUGAAGCCUUCCCCAGCUCCUCCUUCGAUAUAAUCCCAAGUCGACUUGGACAGCCGCUCCCGCGCGUGGGCCUCAAAGUCUGUCAGACACACCACGGACAUUUCUGCACCUUCAAAGGAGAAACCAAAACCAAACAACCAAACCCAAUUGCAGCUGAUUUCUGAGAUCCCUACAACAAGAUAUGAAGUAAAUAUCAUAAGCUGUGAUGUAAAUGCUGUAGAAGAUGCGGAUUUUGUAGGCAAGAUAACGACACUGCACGCCCGCUGCACAGAAUUGAGCCAGUCACAUCACUUCUCUUCGGGUCACUCAAAACCAGAGUGGGAACAAUAAUUCCCGUUUCUAUCCACCUACCUGCUGGAGUGGGAGUGAUUCAAACAAGACGCAGCUGCAUGGAAUCGUGGCUCCCCACAUCCAACCAAGAGCUCGACUGUGUGACUUAUCUACUUCAGAUCGGAGUUUCCACCCCUGUGAAGUGGAGAUAACAGAUGAAUACCUUACAAGGUGCCAGCAGCAGCCCGGGGG